GAUGAACGCUGGCGGCGUGCCUAAUACAUGCAAGUCGAACGCUGGAACUCUAGCUUGCUAGAUUGAAGGAGUGGCGAACGGGUGAGUAAUACAUAAGCAACCUACCCACGAAGACUGGGAUAAUCUCUGGAAACGGGGACUAAUACCGGAUAGGUAAUCGGAAGGCAUCUUCUGAUUAUUAAAGGUGAAAAACACUGGUGGAUGGGCUUAUGGCGCAUUAGUUAGUUGGUGAGGUAAAGGCCCACCAAGACGAUGAUGCGUAGCCGGCCUGAGAGGGUGAACGGCCACAUUGGGACUGAGACACGGCCCAGACUCCUACGGGAGGCAGCAGUAGGGAAUUUUAGGCAAGGGGGGAAACCCUGACCGUGCCACGCCGCGUGAGUGAGGACGGCCUUCGGGUUGUAAAGCUCUGUUGUAAGGGAAGAACGGUAGAUAGAGAAUAUCUAAAUGACGGUACCUUACCAGAAAGCCACGGCUAACUACGUG
rnacentral:rRNA from 1 species